rnacentral:rRNA from 1 species
CACGUAGGCGGCUUUGUAAGUUAGAGGUGAAAGCCCGGAGCUCAACUCCGGAACUGCCUUUAAGACUGCAUCGCUUGAACGUCGGAGAGGUAAGUGGAAUUCCGAGUGUAGAGGUGAAAUUCGUAGAUAUUCGGAAGAACACCAGUGGCGAAGGCGACUUACUGGACGACUGUUGACGCUGAGGUGCGAAAGCGUGGGGAGCAAACA